CCCUUAGACGUUCUGGGCCGCACGCGCGCUACACUGACCAGUGCAACAAGCAUCCGUCCUUGGCCGACAGGCUCGGGCAAUCUUUGAACGCUGGUCGUGAUGGGGAUAGACUUUUGCAAUUUUUGGUCCUCAACGAGGAAUUCCUAGUAAACGCAAGUCAUCAACUUGCAUUGAUUACGUCCCUGCCCUUUGUACACACCGCCCGUCGCACCUACCGAUUGAAUGGUCCGGUGAAGCCUCCGGAUUGGCGCGCACCUCGGUGCCGCCGAGAAGUUGGCUAAACCUUACCAUUUAGAGGAAGGUGAAGUCGUAACA
rnacentral:rRNA from 1 species